CACUAUCUUGUGGCCGUCGGUUCCGUUGGCUGAUGGCCAAGGGAUUAAUAGGGAAGCUGGUGACGCCUCGCGCUAGUCCAGCACUGCCCCGCAGCGGUAAGUGGAAACGAACUCGCCAAUGGCACUGGGACACAGGUUCCCGGGAAGCGGCGAGCCAGGCCGGAAGCAUCGCUUCCAUGUCCACGAGUCCGAAGACCUGCCGACAGCCACGCGAAGCA
rnacentral:ncRNA from 1 species